GUCCCUGUAGCGCAAUGGAUUGCACGUUGGACUUUUAAUCCAAAGGUAAUGGGUUCGAAUCCUAUCUGGGAUG
rnacentral:tRNA from 1 species